CCUACGGGUGGCAGCAGUGGGGGAUAUUGCACAAUGGGGGGAACCCUGAUGCAGCGACGCCGCGUGGGUGAAGAAGCGCCUCGGCGCGUAAAGCCCUGUCAGCAGGGGAGAAAAUGACGGUACCUGAAGAAGAAGCCCCGGUUAACUACGUGCCAGCAGCCGCGGGAAUACGUAGGGGGCAAGCGUUAUCCGGAUGUACUGGGUUUAAAGGGGGCGCAGACGGGGAUGCAAGCCAGGUGUGAAAGCUCGGGGCCCAACCCCGGGACUGCGCUUGGAACUGCGUGGCUGGAGUGCAGGAGGGGCAGGCGGAAUGCCUGGUGUAGCGGUGAAAUGCGUAGAUAUCAGGAGGAACACCGAUGGCGAAGGCGGCCUGCUGGACUGCAACUGACGUUGAGGCCCGAAAGCGUGGGGAGCAAACAGGAUUAGAUACCCCGGUAGUC
rnacentral:rRNA from 1 species